CGGUAUAAGGCGAAUAUUGACAAAUUGGAUUCACACUUUAAGAUCUUUUAAGAGUAACACACUAUGGUCUAUUAGUCAAAAAGAAGUAUUAGAGCUGAGGAGUGCAAACACACACACACACACUCUCGUACAGUCAAGGGCGGGCAUGUAGACAUAACACACACAGACACACUCUCUGUCUCUCUCUCUCACACACAUAACAUUAUAACUUUAUAAGAAUAAUAAAAAGGAGUAUUAAGAUAUUAUAAGGGUAAUAUCUUAUAAUAAUAGAAAACUCUUUAUAAAAUAAAGAGUAGUAGGAUAUGUAGAACAGUAGAAGGGUAAUAUAAUGAUAUUAUGAAGUAGGAAGUACAGUAAACCAUUUUGCAAGCAGUAUAACUAUAUAUAAAAUAGAGAUAUAGAGCAAAUAUGAAAAUAAAUUAUGAACCAGAAAUACAGAAAAAUGUAACUUACUCAUAAUUCAGAUGGUGAAGAUUCUUGUCUCGCAAGGAAGGCCUUAAUUUUAAGAGAAAACCAUGAGGAGCCAUUUAUAAGGGUAGCUGAGUCAAGCUGCCCCUGCGAGAUAAUAGUGAGACCAAGGUCUCUCUAAAUUGUUUUGUCUCUCUACCACUUUCGAUCCUAAUGGUAUCCAGAAAGUCCUCUUUCAAAACAUAAUGGUAAAUUUGAUAAGCCUCUUUCAAAACAUAAUGGUAAUGUAGAUGAGCUCUUUUUUUAACCCUAUUGGUAUUGAUAUCAUAGUCUUUCUGAAAUAUAUUGGUUAUCUACUGUGUAAAUACAGUAUAAAUACUGGAGCUUGAGCUCCAGGUGUCAGAUCACUUCUGAGAAUUCUCAUGGGUGUGGAUCUCGUGUGGUGGAAGGAAACCAAUAAAUCUGGACCCUUGCUUCUUCUCACUCAUGGCUGGUGUCUUUUUUUCUAUCUCCAACUGGGUUUACAGAUGUGAGUAUUUGCUUCUAUGUUGAAUUUUAAGUGUUUUUGGGUAAUAGGCUAAAUUUGGGCCGGUUCUGUUGUGUCUCUUUUUUAAAACUUCGAGAUUUUUUCCACAUGAACUUCAGAACGCCAUAUUUUAAAUGCUGUACGGACAUAACAUUAAGACAUAUAUCCAUGAAUUGACUUUCUAGUACUUGUGCAGCUCCUGUUGUACUUCCUGUGUAUUUUAAUUGACAGAUGUAUCUUCCAAACAACGGUAAGUAAUCCAUUCGCAAACUACACCUACCUUUUCCAUUUUGUCGGAUUUGUUAAUAUAAUGUGUUUUCGGAUUUGUUAGUUUGUUUUCUGAUUUGUUAAUUUGUUUUCUGAUUUGUUAAUGUGUUUUUGGAUUUGUUAAUGUGUUUUCUGAUUUGUUAAUGUGUUUUCUGAUUUGCUAAUGUGUUUUCGGAUUUGUUAAUGUGUUUUGCACUUCACGGCCACCGUACAUUUUUCACAUUACGACAUAAUAAUAUACUCUGACAUGUUUAACAUUUUCUGACGUAGUGAUGAGUAAUAUAAUUGUUUACAUUAAAAUCUAUAACAUGAUAAUAAAGUAUGAAAAGGUGAAAAAGUGAGGACUGAAGUGAAGAAAGUCAGUUUUUAUCAAAUGUACUCUGACAAUCAUUUGCUCCAGUGCUCAUUAAAAUCUAUAACAUGAUAAUAAAGUAAGAAAAGGUGAAAAACGUGAGAACUGAAAUGAAGAAAGUCAGUUUAUCACAUGUGCUCUGACAAUCAAUUGCAUGAGAUGCUCCAGUAUGACAUUUUUCAUAUUAUGUCAUAAUAAUAUACUCUGACAUGUUUCAUAUUUUCUGACAUAAAGUGAUAUGUAAUAUGAUUGUUUGCAUUCAAAUCUAUAACAUUAUAAUAAAGUAUGAAACGGUGAAAAAGUGAGAAUUGAAGUGAAGAAGGUCAGUUUUCAUCAAAUGUGCUCUGAUGAGACUUCUGGCUGAGCAUGUGAGUGAGAAGACACGCGUGGAGUGAGCUCCUAAGCAUUUUAUCUUUUAAUUGUGCUUUUCAGGCAACCCAAAUCUUUUCUAAGACAUUUGGUGCCUUCUUUUUCAAUUACUCAGUUUACAAUUAUAAACAGAAAGGAGUUAUGGCUUCUGAAAGACUACGGAAACCUAAAUCUUCACUGUUGGAAACUCUCUAUUCUCUAUUCCCUCAGAUAUGUAUAAGUAUGUUUAGGUUAUAGUUUAAUUUCUGUCUCAUGAUCUUUUCUAGACCUGUCUGAUGUGUACGUGCCAGUAAAAAUGUCACCAUAGGAACUUCCUAUUUUCUGUUAAGAGAACCAGACCAUAUAUGAUCAACAACUGCUGUACAUUCUUGUAUUGCCUAAGAUGUUUUUCACAUAGGUGGCCAGACAAUUCAACUGCCAUAUUAUUUCCACACAGUAGUGCACCUACCCCGGCUAUUCGUACCUUUGUAUAUGUAUAUAUAAACCUCUGUGAAAUCUGCAUCAAACCAGACGUCUCUUUGAACUGCUCUGGUUGCCAGUGUGUUCAUAUAGACUCUCCAGGCCUGCAUACACUCCGUGAUAAACCACAUGCACUAGAUUUUCUUUUGAGUAAAUGAACCAAGAGGGUGAAAAGGCUGACGGAGGAAAGAGGGAUAAUAGAAGCUGUUAUUUGCUUUAUCCCUAAAAUUCACCAAGCAUGACAGUGAGUCAUGGUGACAAGCUACUGUUGGACCUGGGAAACCUCCGCACUGCUUUGAUCACGGAGCUAACAUCUACCAUUGCAAUACAGGCUAAUGACUCUGCUCUGGCCCCAGUUGUUGAGUCUUUUGAGAGUUUUAAAUCGAGCAUUGAAUCACAAGGACAACGUAUUGACGAGCUUGACCAGCACCUGUAUGAUUACAGUGAUCGCAUUAUAGCACUGGAACAGAUGGUGCAAAAGCUAAAUUCGGCUAAUAAACAACUCGAAUAUCUACCAAUCGUUAUUUCGGAUGACGUCCCUUUAAGUCUUGACAUUCUUCCACUUUCGCAUCGCACCUUUCGCCUACCAUGGAGGCAACUUUUGAAACAUAUCAUAUUAAGUCAUAAGCUUGUGAAACAUGUCUUAGUAUCAUAUUAAUUCAUAAACAUGUGAAACAUAUCAUAUUAAAUAAUAAACAUGUGAAACGUCAUGUUAAGUCAUAAACAUGUGAAACGUCAUAUUAAAUCAUAAAUAUGUGAAACACAUCAUAAUAUCAUAUUAAGUCACGAACAUGUGAAACAUAUCAUUUUAAGUCAUAAACAUGUGAAACAUGUCAUAGUGUCAUAUUAAGUCAUAACCAUGUGAAACAUAUCAAAUUAAGUCAUAAACAUAAACACGUCAUAGUAUCAUAUUAAGGCAUAAAUAUGUGAAACAUAUCCUAUAAAGUCAUAAACAUGUGAAACAUAUCAUAUUACAUCAUAAGCAUGUGAAACAUAUCAUAUUAUAUCAUAAACAUGUGAAACAUAUCAUACUGAUUAAAAACACAUGAAAAAUAUCAUAUUAAGUCAUAAACAUGUGAAACGUGUCAUGUUAAGUCAUAAACGUGUGAAGCAUGUCAAAUUAAGUCAUAAAAAUAUGAAACAUGUCAAAGUAUCAUAUUAAGGCAUAAACAUGUUAAACAUAUCAUAUUAAGUAAUAAACAUGUUAAACAUGUCUUAGUAUCAUAAUAAGUCGUAAAUAUGUUGUGAGGGAAAUUACUCAUUUUUAUUUUGUAAUAAGUUUGUUCUUGUUCUGUUUCAUUCUCAUGUGAGGAUAAUGCCUAUGAAGGCCACGUCAUGUCACUCAGAGAUCAGUACAGAAUGUUUAUCUUCUUACAGAGACACAAACAUGUUAUUCCGCUCAAGGUUCAUCUAAACAUCUUCCAAGAUCCUAAAACAAAGCCUGUUUGAACUGCCUCAAACUGCUUCUUAUCGGUACACAGAAUUAUGUCAUGCUCUGCGUUUCAUAUAUAUAGUAGUGGUUCAGUACAAGGGGUUCAGAGAGCUCUCAUUAUUCUAUCCUGCUUUAUUCUAUCCUGUGUUAACAAUCUUUCUGUAAUAAACCCUUUUACCUUAAGAGGACGAGUCUGCGAGUGUUGUCUAAUUUCCACGACAAUUUGGUGUCUCCUGGCUGGGCUGCACAAGUCUUUUCAGCUUUUCUGGACAACAAGCAAACCGGAGGACGCAUGUGGAAAAGUUUCACCCUGAAGCUCAUGUCAAUACAGGCGGUUUGCCCUUUAUUGUGCAGAGCGAAAGACCAACGCAACCUUACCACUGACCGGUAGGAAUCAUCAAAAAAAAAAAAAAAAAAAAACAGCCUUAAGGCAAACGUCAGCUCUUCUUAUCUCCUUUACUGGAGGGGCUGGAUUUGGAUCUGAACACUCGCUAUCAGCUAGCGCACCUCACCGCUGACAUCACCAUGCUGAUUGAGGUCCUCCGCACCCCACCUGCUGACUCGGGCUUUCCACCACCCCUUAGGUACAGGUGUGAAAGUGUGCGUGGAUGCUGCCACUCAGACUGACCCUCUGCCUACUGUACCCCCCUCCAGCUAUCCAACUGACGAUGACGCGGCCUUCUCUGACCCAGGCUCUGAUUUCUCUCUUCCUUUUUCACCUGUCAGUCCUGAAUACUCUCCUCCAUACACCUCAGCAGGCUAUUGUUCCUCCCCAGGGCAUACGCCGUACUACCAGCCCUUCUCUCCUUUUCGCUCAUCCUCACCCACUGUCUAUACCCCCACGAGCCCUGUUAAUUCUCAAUAAAAAUCACGUGUUACUCAUGCUUUGUCUCCCUCGUGUUUUAUUUCAUAUCUAUUUUACAGACAACACUACCUGUUCUGCACUAACAGCCUGUAUGAAAGCUCUUACCUUGUUUCUUUUGAGACUUGGGAAAGAUUUCUUCACAGUACUGUACUGUUUGCGCUUAUCAGUCUUUGCCAAGAUGUGCUCCAUGACAUUAAAACCUAUGAUGGGAUGGGACAGGUGACACCCUUUCAUCACAAGCAUUGGUAUCAGCAGUUCAUUGGCUUGGUUAGUUUCUGAGGCGAGCCGUAAGGUUGUCUCAAUCCAUCCCUGGUAAGGCAUUUCAGUUCCAUUUGCUGCAGUCAAUGUGAGGUCAGGUGAAUCCAGGAUUUCUGAAAUAUCUCUCAGUCUGAAGCUCGGUAAAUAUUCCUCUUUUCAUUUUUCAUCAGUGACUGACACCUGGGACCCUGUGUCCCAUAAAGCUUGGAGUUGGUGGCCAUUCAGAUAGCAUUCAACAAGACACUGUCUGCAUACUUGUGAGGUGAGCAAGUUGCCAACUGGAGCUAGGGGUGGCAAGUAGUGUGCAUUUUUGUCUUUGCAGGGACACUUUCCAUUGCCCUUGUCAGUUAUCAGGAUGAACAUUGCUUCAGCUCAUUUGGUGAAUCUUUCUUGCCACAAUUUGCACAAUUCUGGGACAUUCCACUGGCUAUGAUAUGAGAUGUUUCACUUGUUUAAGACUCAAUAUGAUCCGUUUCACUUGUUUACGUCUCAAUAUGAUCUGUUUCACUUGUUUAUGACUUAAUAUGAUACUGUGACAUGUUUCACGCAUGCAGGACUCAAUAUGAGAUGUUUCACUCGUUAACGUCUCAAUAUGAUCUGUUUCACUUGUUUCUGACUUAAUAUGAUACUGUGAGAUAUUUCACAUGUUUUGGACUCAAUAUGAGAUGUUUCACUUGUUUACGAUUCAUUAUGAUCUGUUUCACUUGUUUAUGACUUAAUGUGAUACUAUGACAUAUUUCAGAUGUUUAUGACUCAAUAUGAUAUGUUUCACUUGUUUACGACUCAAUAUGAUCUGUUUCACUUGUUUAUGACUUAACAUGAUUCUAUGACAUGCUUAUGACUCAAUAUGAUGCGUUUCACUUGUUUAUGACAAUAUGAUAGUUAUGUUUAUGAUGUUUAUGACUUAAAAUGUUUCACAUGUUUAUGACUCAAUAUGACAUGUUUCACAUGUUUAUGAUAUUUGUCACGUGUUUAUGAUCUGUUUCAUUUGUUUAUGACUUAAUGUGUUACUAUGACAUGUUUCACUUUUCUGACUCAAUAUGAGACGUUUCACAUUUGUAUGACUUAAUAUGAUACUUUGACAUUUUUAUGACUCAAUAUGAUCUGUUUCACUUGUUUAUGACUAUUUGAUUCUAUGAAAUAUGUAUGACUCAGUAUGAUCUGUUUCACCUGUUUAUGACUUAAUAUGAUCUGUUUCACUUGUUUAUGACUUAUAAUAUUAUGACUUAUUUAUGACUCAAUAUGAUUUGUUUGACUUGUUUAUGACUUAAUAUGAUAUACUAUGACGUUUACGACGCAAUAUGAUCUGUUUCACUUGUUUAUGACUUAUAAUACUAUGACAUGUUUAUGACUCAAUAUGAUCUGUUUCACUUGUUUAUGACUUAUAAUACUAUGACAUGUUUAAGUCUCAAUAUGUUCUGUUUCACUUGUUUAUGACUUAAUGUGAUACGAUGACAUGUUUCAGACGGUUUUGACUCAAUUUGAGAUGUUUCACUUGUUUACGUCUCAAAAUGCUCUGUUUCACUUGUUUAUAACUCAAUUUGAUACUAUGAUGUGUUUCACAUGUUUAUGACUCACUAUGAGAUGUUUCACUUGUUUAUGACUCAAUAUGAGAUGGUUCACAUGUUUAUGCCUUAAUAUGAUCCUUUGACAUGUUUAUAACUUAAUAUGAUACUUUGAUGUGUUUCACAUGUUUAUGACUCAAUAUGAGAUGUUUCAAUUGUUUAUGUCUUAAUAUGAAUCUCUGACAUGAUUUUAUCUUAAUAUGAUACUAAGACAUAUUUCACAUGUUAUUGACUUAAUAUGAGAUGGUUGAAUUGUUUAUGACUUAAUAUGAGACGUUUCACAUGAUUAUGACUUAAUAUGAUAUGUUUCACUUGAUAACGAUUUAAUAUGAUUCUAUGACCUGUUUCACAUUUUUAUGACACAAUAUGAUAUAUUUCACUUGUUUAUGACUUAAAAUGUUUAUUGCUUAAUAUGAUAAAAUUAUGUGUUUCGCAUGUUUAUGACUCAAUAUGAGAUUUUUGACUUGUUUAUGACUCAAUAUGAUAUGGUUCACUGGUUUAUGACUAAAUAUGAUUCUUUGACAUGUUUAUAACUUAAUAUGAUACUAUGAGAUGUUUCACUUGUUUAUGACUCAAUAUGAUACGUUUUACUUGUUUAUGCUUUAAUAUGAUACUAUGACAUAUUUCACGUUAUUGACUUAAUAUGAGAUUGUUGACUUAGAUUAUCACUUAAUAUGAGACGUUUCACAUGAUUAUGACUCAAUAUGAUGUGUUUCACUUGAUUAUGACUCAAUAUGAGAUGUUUCACUUGUUUAUGCUUUAAUAUGAUACUAUGAUGUAUUUCACAUUUUUAUGACACAAUAUGAUAUGUUUCACUUGUUUAUGACUUAAAAUGUUUAUUACUUGGUAUGAUAAAAUGAUGUGUUUCACAUGUUUAUGACUCAAUAUGAGAUGGUUCACUGGUUUAUGACUUAAUAUGAUUCUUUGACAUGUUUAUAACUUAUUAUGAUACUAUGAUGUGUUUCACAUGUUUAUGGCUCAAUAUGAGAUGUUUCACUUGUUUAUGACUCAAUAUGAUAAGUUUCACUUGUUUAUGCUUUAAUAUGAUACUAUGACAUAUUUCACAUGUUACUGACUUAAUAUGAGAUGGUUGACUUAGUUUAUCAUUUAAUAUGAUUCUUUGACAUGUUUAUAACUUAAUUUGAUACUAUGAUGUGUUGACAUGUUUAUGACUCAAUACGAGAUGUUUGACUUGUUUGUGGCUUAAUAUGAUACUAUGAUGUAUUUCACAUGUUUAUGACUCAAUAUGAGAUGUUUGACUUGUUUAUGACUAAAUAUGAUUCUUUGACAUGUUUAUAACUUAAUAUGAUACUAUGAUGUGUUUCACAUGUUUAUGACUCAAUAUGAGGUGGUUCACACGUUUAUGACUUAAUAUGAGAUAUUUCACUUGUUUAUGACUUAAUAGGAUACUGUGAUGUGUUUGACAUGUUUAGGAUACUGUGUGACUUAAUA
ensembl:lncRNA